GUGAAACACCGGUUCUCGCCCGAUCGCUGAAGUUAAGCAAAGCUGAGCCUGAACAGUACGUAGUUCGGUAACCGCUUGGGAAUACCAGGUACU